GUCUACGGGCACGCCGCCCUGAACAAGCCUGAUGUAUCUCGGAAGCUAAGCAGUGUCGGGCCUGGUUGGUACUUGGAUGGGAGACCACCUAGGAAGACCAGCUGCCGUAGGCG
rnacentral:rRNA from 1 species